AGAGAGAGACAUGCGCGCAUAUCAAUAAGCGGAGGAAAAGAAACUAACAAGGAUUCCCCUAGUAACGGCGAGUGAAGCGGGAAGAGCUCAAAUUUGAAAUCUUAAAGGGUUUCCCUUUACGAAUUGUAGUUUAAGGAAGUGUUUUCUGUUGAGGUUUUGGUAAAAGUUCUUUGGAAUAGGACAUCAUAGAGGGUGAGAAUCCCGUAUUUGACCUUUACUUUCAACUUUGUGAUACACUUUCAAAGAGUCGGAUUGUUUGGGAAUGCAGUCCAAAAUGGGUGGUAAAUUUCAUCUAAAGCUAAAUAUUGGCGAGAGACCGAUAGCGAACAAGUACCGUGAGGGAAAGAUGAAAAGAACUUUGAAAAGAGAGUUAAACAGUACGUGAAAUUGUCAAAAGGGAAGCGUUUGACACCAGUGUUGUUUUUCUGAAAAUCAAUUAAAGAACUGUUUAUGCUAAGCUGUUUAGACUUUAUCAGCUAUCUGUUUAGUUUUGAGCUUUUCUUUAAUGCACUUUUCAGUUAACAAGUCAACAUCAAUUUCUUUUGCUGUAAAAAAGCUUGAGGAAGGUGGCUUGAGAUUCGUCUUAAGUGUUUAUAGCCUCUUGCCUAUGCAGUCGGAGAGAUUGAGGUCUGCAGCGUAGAUCCUUCGGGGCUAAAUGCAUUUGUGCUAAGUUAUAGCAUUUUAUAGACAACUUGUUGACUAUGAUUUGUCUUGUAGCUUACUCGCUUAUGUUAUUUUACCUACGCUUAGGAUGUUGACGCAUGAGAUAUACGC
rnacentral:rRNA from 1 species